rnacentral:lncRNA from 1 species
AACAAUUUGCUUUCAAAUGAACGUUUUAGAUACUUAAUUGUUUUUAAAUCAUUAAAUAUAUAUUUUCUACUUACCUACUACAUUUUUAGCAAGUUUUGAGAUUUUUGACGAAAAAUUACUAAAAUACCCCUGUGAGCCAAAAAAUAAUAUUUUAUUGUUCUUAUUUAAAAAUGACUUAUGAUUUUUUUGAAAUACGAGAUUUAAUAACUGUUGCUCACCGGGGAGAUGCGAAAGUUGAUGCUAAGCCUUGCGAGGUUUCAAUCGACAUUCGGGGUGAAGAAUGUUUGUCGAGGCCUCACGACGGUUGUCACGGGCCCGAUGGGUAGUUCCGGGUCGUGACAACAUAAAUCAUGUUUUUAUUUUGAAAACAUAGCCGUUGGCCGAGUUCACCCUCACGUGGUGGUUUGGCGUGAAGUGAACUCUAAAAUGUUAACCUCAGGAGUUAUCCAUCCGUGCCUCUUAAACUGAGGUAUGAAUAUGACCAGGUUUUGUGCCCCUCUAAUAGGUUGGUCCACAGAACUAGCUCACUACAGCAAGCUAAACCCACCAUACAAUAAAAAUUCAACAGCAUGACAUGGUAAUUUUAUAAUUAUCUAGCCUAUCCAAGCAAACAACAGUUUAUACAUUUCAACACAAAUACCAAUUCAGCCAUUCAUGCCAAUAUUGUCAUAAGCCAAUCAAUUAGAACCAUAAAUUCACAAUACAUCAAAUGGUCUCCAAUUACUCUAUUUGAAAAGCCAUUAUUCAAUUUUAAAACAAUUUUAUGAAAUCAUUUCACUAAAUCACAUUUUUGUUUAUAAAAUCAAAAAAUUAAUAAUUUAAUUCAUUUUCCAUAAAAUUUACAAAAUCGGAUAAAACAUACUUUAGAUAAUUAAGACGAUAAUAAGGUUACUCACAGUACUAGGAGUUCGAUAUACUCUUAUUCUCGAUCUUCAGGCACAAUCUCUUUACCCUUGUUAGAGGGCUCACCACCUAUACAUCAUACAUGACACGAAUUUCAAUAAAUUGUGUCAAUUUAUCAUAAACUAUUUAAAGCUCUAUAAAUCUAUAUGAAUGCACAAAAUGUGAUGCAAAAUGUCUAAAUAUCCGUUUAAAUACGGUAUUCAACCUAAUUCGUACUAUUCUCGAUGUAAUUGGCUAAAACCUCCAAUUUAACUCCAAAUCGAUUUCUUUCACUUUCUACACUCCAAUUAUACUUAAAAUGCCUCAAUGACUGUGAAUAUGAUUCAAUUUAUCAAUCCGAACCAUAAAUCGCACAUGUCUAUACAUUAGGUAAAAAUUUAUAUUUUCAUGCCAAAAUUUCCCAUUAAAUUUCUAGCCUCACCAAUCAUUAAAUACCACCAAAAUAUCAUGAAAUAUCAUCAAUUUCAGCCUCAAUAUCCUCCCUAGAAAAUUCGGCCUCUUGUGGGUUUGUGAAGAACAAAGUGAUUCCUUGCUAGAUUUUCAUACUUUCCAUUAUCAAACAACCAAAAACACUUAAUUAGCUUGAAAUCUAGCAAAAUCAAUGCUCAAAACCUCUCCUCUCAAAUUCGGCCAGCAUGGGUUCAUUAUGCAAACUUGAGUUCUAAGCAUGGAAAAUGAAAAAGAAAGCAUGGGUAGUGUAAAUCACAAGAUAAAACCACAAAAGUUUACCUCUAUUAUCUUAAUCCCUUGAAAUCUCACACUUUUUCUUCAAUUUUCCCUCCUAGGGUUUGUGUUAUUUCCUUUCCUCUUCACUUCAUGCUUUGGCCGGC